rnacentral:rRNA from 1 species
GGGUUGUGAGGUUAAGCGACUAAGCGUACACGGUGGAUGCCCUGGCAGUCAGAGGCGAUGAAGGACGUGCUAAUCUGCGAUAAGCGUCGGUGAGGUGAUAUGAACCGUUAUAACCGGCGAUUUCCGAAUGGGGAAACCCAGUGUGUUUCGACACACUAUCAUUAACUGAAUCCAUAGGUUAAUGAGGCGAACCGGGGGAACUGAAACAUCUAAGUACCCCGAGGAAAAGAAAUCAACCGAGAUUCCCCCAGUAGCGGCGAGCGAACGGGGAGGAGCCCAGAGCCUGAAUCAGUGUGUGUGUUAGUGGAAGCGUCUGGAAAGGCGCGCGAUACAGGGUGACAGCCCCGUACACAAAAAUGCACAUAUUGUGAGCUCGAUGAGUAGGGCGGGACACGUGGUAUCCUGUCUGAAUAUGGGGGGACCAUCCUCCAAGGCUAAAUACUCCUGACUGACCGAUAGUGAACCAGUACCGUGAGGGAAAGGCGAAAAGAACCCCGGCGAGGGGAGUGAAAAAGAACCUGAAACCGUGUACGUACAAGCAGUGGGAGCCUCUUAAUGGGGUGACUGCGUACCUUUUGUAUAAUGGGUCAGCGACUUAUAUUCUGUAGCAAGGUUAACCGAAUAGGGGAGCCGAAGGGAAACCGAGUCUUAACUGGGCGUUAAGUUGCAGGGUAUAGACCCGAAACCCGGUGAUCUAGCCAUGGGCAGGUUGAAGGUUGGGUAACACUAACUGGAGGACCGAACCGACUAAUGUUGAAAAAUUAGCGGAUGACUUGUGGCUGGGGGUGAAAGGCCAAUCAAACCGGGAGAUAGCUGGUUCUCCCCGAAAGCUAUUUAGGUAGCGCCUCGUGAAUUCAUCUCCGGGGGUAGAGCACUGUUUCGGCAAGGGGGUCAUCCCGACUUACCAACCCGAUGCAAACUGCGAAUACCGGAGAAUGUUAUCACGGGAGACACACGGCGGGUGCUAACGUCCGUCGUGAAGAGGGAAACAACCCAGACCGCCAGCUAAGGUCCCAAAGUCAUGGUUAAGUGGGAAACGAUGUGGGAAGGCCCAGACAGCCAGGAUGUUGGCUUAGAAGCAGCCAUCAUUUAAAGAAAGCGUAAUAGCUCACUGGUCGAGUCGGCCUGCGCGGAAGAUGUAACGGGGCUAAACCAUGCACCGAAGCUGCGGCAGCGACACUGUGUGUUGUUGGGUAGGGGAGCGUUCUGUAAGCCUGUGAAGGUGGCCUGUGAGGGUUGCUGGAGGUAUCAGAAGUGCGAAUGCUGACAUAAGUAACGAUAAAGCGGGUGAAAAGCCCGCUCGCCGGAAGACCAAGGGUUCCUGUCCAACGUUAAUCGGGGCAGGGUGAGUCGACCCCUAAGGCGAGGCCGAAAGGCGUAGUCGAUGGGAAACAGGUUAAUAUUCCUGUACUUGGUGUUACUGCGAAGGGGGGACGGAGAAGGCUAUGUUGGCCGGGCGACGGUUGUCCCGGUUUAAGCGUGUAGGCUGGUUUUCCAGGCAAAUCCGGAAAACCAAGGCUGAGGCGUGAUGACGAGGCACUACGGUGCUGAAGCGACAAAUGCCCUGCUUCCAGGAAAAGCCUCUAAGCAUCAGGUAACAUCAAAUCGUACCCCAAACCGACACAGGUGGUCAGGUAGAGAAUACCAAGGCGCUUGAGAGAACUCGGGUGAAGGAACUAGGCAAAAUGGUGCCGUAACUUCGGGAGAAGGCACGCUGAUAUGUAGGUGAAGCGACUUGCUCGUGGAGCUGAAAUCAGUCGAAGAUACCAGCUGGCUGCAACUGUUUAUUAAAAACACAGCACUGUGCAAACACGAAAGUGGACGUAUACGGUGUGACGCCUGCCCGGUGCCGGAAGGUUAAUUGAUGGGGUUAGCGGUAACGCGAAGCUCUUGAUCGAAGCCCCGGUAAACGGCGGCCGUAACUAUAACGGUCCUAAGGUAGCGAAAUUCCUUGUCGGGUAAGUUCCGACCUGCACGAAUGGCGUAAUGAUGGCCAGGCUGUCUCCACCCGAGACUCAGUGAAAUUGAACUCGCUGUGAAGAUGCAGUGUACCCGCGGCAAGACGGAAAGACCCCGUGAACCUUUACUAUAGCUUGACACUGAACAUUGAGCCUUGAUGUGUAGGAUAGGUGGGAGGCUUUGAAGUGUGGACGCCAGUCUGCAUGGAGCCGACCUUGAAAUACCACCCUUUAAUGUUUGAUGUUCUAACGUGGGCCCCUAAUCGGGGUUGCGGACAGUGUCUGGUGGGUAGUUUGACUGGGGCGGUCUCCUCCUAAAGAGUAACGGAGGAGCACGAAGGUUGGCUAAUCCUGGUCGGACAUCAGGAGGUUAGUGCAAUGGCAUAAGCCAGCUUGACUGCGAGCGUGACGGCGCGAGCAGGUGCGAAAGCAGGUCAUAGUGAUCCGGUGGUUCUGAAUGGAAGGGCCAUCGCUCAACGGAUAAAAGGUACUCCGGGGAUAACAGGCUGAUACCGCCCAAGAGUUCAUAUCGACGGCGGUGUUUGGCACCUCGAUGUCGGCUCAUCACAUCCUGGGGCUGAAGUAGGUCCCAAGGGUAUGGCUGUUCGCCAUUUAAAGUGGUACGCGAGCUGGGUUUAGAACGUCGUGAGACAGUUCGGUCCCUAUCUGCCGUGGGCGCUGGAGAACUGAGGGGGGCUGCUCCUAGUACGAGAGGACCGGAGUGGACGCAUCACUGGUGUUCGGGUUGUCAUGCCAAUGGCACUGCCCGGUAGCUAAAUGCGGAAGAGAUAAGUGCUGAAAGCAUCUAAGCACGAAACUUGCCCCGAGAUGAGUUCUCCCUGACCCUUUAAGGGUCCUGAAGGAACGUUGAAGACGACGACGUUGAUAGGCCGGGUGUGUAAGCGCAGCGAUGCGUUGAGCUAACCGGUACUAAUGAACCGUGAGGCUUAACCUUACAACGCCGAAG